rnacentral:misc_RNA from 1 species
GAUGAAGAACGCAGCGAAAUGCGAUAAGUAAUGUGAAUUGCAGAAUUCAGUGAAUCAUCGAAUCUUUGAACGCACAUUGCGCCCGCCAGUAUUCUGGCGGGCAUGCCUGUUCGAGCGUCAUUACAACCCUCAGGCCCCCGGGCCUGGCGUUGGGGAUCGGCGGAGCCCCCCGUGGGCACACGCCGUCCCCCAAAUGCAGUGGCGGUCCCGCCGCAGCUUCCAUCGCGUAGUAGCUAACACCUCGCGACUGGAGAGCGGCGCGGCUACGCCGUAAACCACCCAACUCUUCUGAAGUUGACCUCGAAUCAGGUAGGAAUACCCGCUGAACUUAAGCAUAUCAAUAAGCGGAGGA